GGGCCGGUAGCUCAGUGUCAGAGCACACGCUUGAUAAGCGUGAGGUUGGGGGUUCAAAUCCUUCCCGGCCCACCA
rnacentral:tRNA from 1 species